rnacentral:rRNA from 1 species
GACGAACGCUGGCGGCGUGCCUAAUACAUGCAAGUUGAGCGCUGAAGGUUGGUACUUGUACCAACUGGAUGAGCAGCGAACGGGUGAGUAACGCGUGGGGAAUCUGCCUUUGAGCGGGGGACAACAUUUGGAAACGAAUGCUAAUACCGCAUAAAAACUUUAAACACAAGUUUUAAGUUUGAAAGAUGCAAUUGCAUCACUCAAAGAUGAUCCCGCGUUGUAUUAGCUAGUUGGUGAGGUAAAGGCUCACCAAGGCGAUGAUACAUAGCCGACCUGAGAGGGUGAUCGGCCACAUUGGGACUGAGACACGGCCCAAACUCCUACGGGAGGCAGCAGUAGGGAAUCUUCGGCAAAGGACGAAAGUCUGACCGAGCAACGCCGCGUGAGUGAAGAAGGUUGUCGGAUCGUAAAACUCUGUUGGUAGAGAAGAACGUUGGUGAGAGUGGAAAGCUCAUCAAGUGACGGUAACUACCCAGAAAGGGACGGCUAACUACGUG